GUGUUGCGUGAAAGGAGAGAAGGUUGCCACUCCCCUUGCCGAGGAUGGAAGAGGCCCUUGGGCCUGACAACACGCGUACAGUUGAAGCAUUACCACCUACUUCGUGGCAUCUAACAAUCGUUUAAG
ensembl:snRNA